AAAAAAUCCUGGAUUUCCAGGCAACCCUCCCAAAAAAAAGGCCCAAACCCGCCACAAGCCCUUCAGAGCCCAAAUCCGUGAGUGCUGUGUCUUUCUUGUAUUGUUUGACAAAGCUCACCGUGCUCAGUCCGCAGACCGCGAAACAUGGCGAGCUCUGUUUUCGCCUUCAACCCCUUAACAGGGCGGAGAGCGCGCGAACCAGUAACCCCAGUCUCACCCAAAUCACGCUCAAGUUUGAAUUUCCGAAACUCACACUCUGUGAAGUUCAAAUGCGAGCACUCGUGCUUUGAAGUUAGCAAUGUUAGCUACCAACCGCCAGGGACCGAGCUUAGCCUUUUAAAUUCUGUUAGUUUUUCACUGCCGGAGAAAAGCUUUGGCUUAAUUUUUGGACAGAGUGGUAGUGGAAAGACUACUCUUGUGCAGCUUCUUGCAGGGAUAAGCAAACCAACUUCAGGUUCAAUUUACAUUCAAAAAUAUGGAAAUGACGGCAAUCCAGUUCAGUCUCCUGAACCCUUAUCCUCAGGAAGAGUUGGCAUUGUAUUUCAGUUUCCAGAGAGGUAUUUUGUCGCAGAUAAUGUUCUUGACGAAGUUACAUUUGGGUGGCCAAGACAAAAGGGUGAUCUUCAAAUGAAGGAGCAUCUUGCUCUAAGACUCCAACGAGCAAUCAAUUGGGUUGGUUUAAGUGGGAUCUCAUUGGAUAGAGAUCCCCACUCCCUUAGUGGUGGCUACAAACGUCGGCUUGCCUUGGCAAUUCAAUUAGUGCAAGUCCCUGAUUUAUUGAUAUUGGAUGAACCUCUUGCUGGUCUUGAUUGGAAGGCACGUGCUGAUGUUGUGAAGCUUCUAAAGCAUCUAAAAAAAGAAUUGACUAUACUUGUUGUCAGCCAUGAUCUCAAAGAGUUAGCAGCUAUAGUUGAUCGAUCUUGGAGGAUGGAGAUGGGUGGGAUUCUUAGGGAAGAGCCUCUACCGAUUUGAUUUAAGCAAGAUGGUGCUGCCUCAACAUGGCAUGCUGUGAGAAUUUAUGCAUGCAAAGGACUUGUUGGGCAGAAUUCCAAAGGCAGAAUAGGGCAAGUAAAAAAUUAUGAAGGUGCAAGCAAAUGCGGAAUUUGACAAGAAGUGGAACUGGGAGCGCUCUCUCCUCAUAUCGGGUGCUUGGAUUGGGGGUAUCCUAAUUCUUUGCUAACCAACGAAGAGCUAGAAUAUGAAAGAGUUGCCACUUUUGGUCGUGGAAGACUAAAGAAAAAGAGAAGAGAAUCACUCACCACCCGUGACACCUUCCAUAUACCACCACAACAAAAGCAAACUCAGCAAAAUUCUCUGCAGGAGGAUCCACCACAAGCAUCCAUGACCAUGUGAGUUAGAUUUCGUAUCCUGCAUUUUGUUUUCUUUUUUCUUUUGGGUCUGAUUCUCAUUGGGCAGUUGGAGUAUGUGUUCAUCUUCAUUAUCGUUUUUGUAUAGUACGGAGUUAUUACAUGAUCACCCUAAUUAUUGUUGGUUCUUAUUUGUAUGGAGCUAUUUCAAAAUGAUAAGACCCCCAUCUUGCAGGUGUAAAGUGUAUGGGUCUAAUUUCCUUUAUUUCUCCUUUAGCAGUUGAGCCAUCCAUCAUACAUACUUUA